rnacentral:rRNA from 1 species
GAUGAACGCUGGCGGCGUGCCUAAUACAUGCAAGUCGAGCGAACAGAUGAGAAGCUUGCUUCUCUGAUGUUAGCGGCGGACGGGUGAGUAACACGUGGGUAACCUACCUAUAAGACUGGGAUACCUCCGGGAAACCGGGGCUAAUACUGGAUAAUAUUUUGCACCGCAUGAUUCAAUAGUGAAAGACGGUUUCGGCUGUCACUUAUAUAUGGACCCGCGCCGUAUUAGCUAGUUGGUAAGGUAAUGGAUUACCAAGGUGACGAUACGUAGCCGACCGGAGAGGGUGAUCGGCCACACUGGAACUGAGACACGGUCCAGACUCCUACGGGAGGCAGCAGUAGGGAAUCUUCCGCAAUGGGCGAAAGCCUGACGGAGCAACGCCGCGUGAGUGAUGAAGGUCUUCGGAUCGUAAAACUCUGUUGUUAGGGAAGAACAAAUUUGUUAGUAACUGAACAAGUCUUGACGGUACCUAACCAGAAAGCCACGGCUAACUACGUGCCAGCCGCCGCGGUAA